GCCUUCGAGGUGUAGGGUAACACACUCGGCACGUAUUCGAAAGGCCCAGGUUCGAGUCCUGGUGAAGGGU
rnacentral:tRNA from 1 species